rnacentral:sRNA from 1 species
AGAGAAGUUAGUGCCGCCCCGCACAGGGGCAACGCUAGCAGACCACUAACAAAGCAAGGAAAGGCCAAACCCGCUAGCACCCUGUAGAAUUUAACCCUCCAGCGCCGC